GAUACCUAUGCCCGACAAUUGGAAGCCACGAACAAGACACUGCAAAAGAUGAUGGGAAGCAGGCGAUCUUCCUCUUGAACGGGUCCAAUAUUUGUAUUUCAUUGUUCUUUAUAAUGGUAUUUCUCUCUCUAUACUUUUUUGCGUGUUUUGUCCCUCGUAAAUGAUUUAGUAACGUUUGUAUAAUAGGAUCAAGACCAGACAAAGCCAUGAUGCAUUGAAAAAGUAGAAUGG
rnacentral:ribozyme from 12 species